ensembl:snRNA U6 U6 spliceosomal RNA
GUGUUCACUUCGGCAGCACAUACACUAAAAUCGGAAUGAUAGAGAAGAUUAGCAUUGCCCCUGCGCAAGGAUGACACGCAAAUUCGUGAAGCAUUCCAUAUAUUU